UGCCAGCCGCCGCGGUAAUACGGAGGGGGGUAGCGUUGUUCGGAAUUACUGGGCGUAAAGCGCGCGUAGGCGGAUUGGAAAGUUGGGGGUGAAAUCCCGGGGCUUAACCUCGGAACUGCCUUCAAUACUGUCAGUCUUGAGAUCGGAAGAGGUGAGUGGAAUUCCUAGUGUAGAGGUGAAAUUCGUAGAUAUUAGGAAGAACACCAGUGGCGAAGGCGGCUCACUGGUCCGAUACUGACGCUGAGGUGCGAAAGCGUGGGGAGCGAACAGGAUUAGAUA
rnacentral:rRNA from 1 species